CCUAACACAUGCAGUCGAGCGAGGAACUUCGGUUCCUAGCGGCGGACGGGUGAGUAACACGUGGGUAACCUGCCUCAUAGAGGGGAAUAGCCUCCCGAAAGGGAGAUUAAUACCGCAUAACACUGCGGUUUCGCAUGAAACUGCAGUUAAAGGAGUUCAAUCCGCUAUGAGAUGGACCCGCGGCGCAUUAGCUAGUUGGUGAGGUAAAGGCUCACCAAGGCCACGAUGCGUAGCCGACCUGAGAGGGAGUGAUCGGCCACAUUGGAACUGAGACACGGUCCAGACUCCUACGGAGGCAGCAGUGGGGAAUAUUGCACAAUGGCCGAAAGCCUGAUGCAGCACGCGGCGUGAAGGAUGAAUGCCUUCGGGUUGUAACUCUUGUCUUCUGGGACGAUAUGACGGUACCAGAGAGAAGCACGCUACUCGUGCAGCAGCGCGUAAU
rnacentral:rRNA from 1 species